AGACUGGUUAAUGGUAUCAAAGCAUCAUAAAAACUUCAGAAGGAAAGGAUUUUGUGGGGUUUUUUGUGGGCUUUUUUUUUGUAUGUAGCAGUUUUAUUAGUUUUUAAAAUCAAU
rnacentral:miRNA from 1 species